GCAUAAGAUAUUCCUUUCCUUGACAUUCCGAUUCUAAUCUACAUUUAAUUCUUUCAUUUGCUACUCCAUAAAAGACAAAAGAAACGUCAUAGCGUUCUAAUCUCGCCACGACGUUUCACGCGAUACCAGAUUGAAAUUCUUUCGGAGUUAACCUCGAACACUCGUGUUUAUGUCAUAUUCACGCGUGUGUGUCGCGCCGAAUGUUAUCCUGCGAACGUACACACCGCACGCUAUACUUCUCGAUUGUACCUAUGCAUCGAUUUCAUUCAUCAAUCGAGACAUUUUGCGUUCGAAAGAAAAAAGAAAAAUAAUAGUUACUCCAAGAUACCGUAUGGUUUUCGAAUAAGACAAAUCACGAUUCUUUCGCGGUUUACAUGCAUCAAAGUGUUACAUAAUAGAAGCCCAUCUGUAUUUACGGUGCAACGCACCAGGCUCAUGAUUUCUCGAAGCAGUAAAGGUGCGACGUAUGGACAGGAAACAGGAUGGCGAAGAGAGGCACCUAGCCAAAAGAAUGCAGCGCAUAAAGUAUCGUACUGUCCGCAGAUGUUUGCGAGAUGUUAUCACGACACACCCGGUGUUUCCUGUUACCGCGAUAACCGUGCAUUCGACAGCGCUUGAACCACCGUCAACUGUUACGUGCGCAGAAGCGUAAGGAGGCUCCAACUUUGAAGACUGUCAAUAAUCUUGUCAAGUUCAAAUAAGCGUGAACCGUCUGUUAAUCAGCAGACUAUUCGCUAGAAACUUUUUCAACGUUUUCACUUUGUGUCAUUUCUUAUCACUGUCGCGAUAAGAGCCUGGCGUUCUAUAGCGGGCGCCACCCCCGCUAUGUUUUUAAAACCGUCCGUUGUUACGCGAGGAAGUACCACGCGACAGGAAAUAAUAACCGCGAUCAUCGUUCGUUAUCGACGAUAACCAUUGAAAGAAUAUCGCAGCGAAAAUCCUUAUCAUUUAUGAUUCAACCCAGAUAGUAUCGAGCUAUCUGUGUCAGGACUGCACCCUUCGAGAGCGAGUUAUCUCUCGCGGUGCAUCGAUUACACGAUAUCGUUUGCAAACACGAUACAGAGCUAUAAGCCAAGACGAGAGCUUAGAAUAAUCAUGAAACAUCGUCGAGAAUCGGUGCACGUACCUCGACGCAAAGGAAUUAUUCGUCGUUGCUCAGGUGUAUUUUAAUCACGACUCCAUCAUGAUUACUCGGCUCGUGCCAAAGGAACAAAUAAUUAUGACGUUUCGUCGGUGCACCGAUGGCUUAUCGAUUUUCGAUGGCGAUUCUUUUGCCGAACGAAAGGGAACGAGGCAAUUUCGGCCUCGGCGUCGUUCGACAGCCGAGGGAUGAGCCAGCGAAAGGGAACUUUUGUUACAAUUUCGCCCUCGAGUAUUAUCGAGGCGAUGCUCGUCGUGUUUUCUUACGAAGAGCUUGUACGAGGACGACAGAAGGGGACGUAACUUCAUUAAGGAACCCCAGGUCAGUUCAUGCCACGAGGGACGAAUAGAGCGACGAAUCUAUGACACGCAAAUAGAGCAGCGCGACGCAUAGAGGACAACGAGGAGAACGUCGAGAAUGAAAAUUACGCGACCCUGUCUGCUCGCUAUCUAAAUUCUCAUUUAUUUAUUUUUAUGGAAUAAACCAUUGCAUUGAAUUCAA